CACCAGUCUCCCUUUCUCCUCCAGAGCCAUCUGGGUUCAGUGGCAACAUACAAAUCAGCAUGACUGAAGAUGGCCUGUGCCUGGGGAAAGAAUAAAAGUAGAAGUCCAGUGGAGGAGAAACAAGAGUCAUCAUAGGCAUCCUGACUGUUUUCAACUCUUCUCCCAUGUCUGCAGUCCUUUUCACUAUGGAGGACCUAGCAGCUUCCACUUUAAAGGAUCAAAGGGCCUGGAAUCUGAUAUUUCAAAAGGUGAAGGAACUUGAAGUGCAGCAAAUUAACAUGGUCAGAAAAUUCAUCACCUGGUGGCCAACCUGUUGGUAAGAUGCUGCUGGUGUAUUCUUUCAAGCUGGAAAUAUUUUGAAUAUGGAUCUGGAGAGCUUCUCUUUUGUCAUAGUAGCCUCGGAGAAUCUCUAUACCAUAAUGAAGCAUCCACACAUCAAUUUUGGACUGUUGUGGAAGAGCAAUGAACAUUAAAGACAAAAAGAAAGGUUUUUUUUUUUUGUUUGUUUUUUUUUAAGUUAUGAGGGUGCCAAUAGGCAGACCAAAGAAAGGAUAGAACUCUGCUUAGUUUGGAUAAGAUAAUAAUGGAUGAUGUAGAG
rnacentral:lncRNA from 1 species